AUUUAUGUAGUUUAAUAUAAAACAUUAUAUUUUCAUUAUAAAAAUAAAGAAGUUUCAUAAAUA
rnacentral:tRNA from 1 species